UACGUAGGUCCCGAGCGUUGUCCGGAUUUAUUGGGCGUAAAGCGAGCGCAGGUGGUUUAUUAAGUCUGGUGUAAAAGGCAGUGGCUCAACCAUUGUAUGCAUUGGAAACUGGUAGACUUGAGUGCAGGAGAGAAGAGUGGAAUUCCAUGUGUAGCGGUGAAAUGCGUAGAGAUUAGGAAGAACACCAGUGGCGAAGGCGAUUCUCUGGACUGUAACUGACACUGAGGCUCGAAAGCGUGGGGAGCAAACAGG
rnacentral:rRNA from 1 species